rnacentral:tRNA from 1 species
GGAGACGUGGCCGAGUGGUCGAAGGCGCACGCCUGGAAAGUGUGUAGGGGGGAAACCGUCUCGUGGGUUCAAUCCCACCGUCUCCGCCA